CACGUAGGGCGCGAGCGUUGUCCGGAAUUAUUGGGCGGUAAAGAGCUCGUAGGCGGUUUGGUAAGUCGGGUGAUGAAAUCGUCCACCGCUCAACGUGGAGGGGCCACUCGAUACUGCCAUGACGUCGAGUCCGGUAGAGGAGUGUGGAAUUCCCGGGUGUAGCGGUGAAAUGCGCAGAUAUCGGAGGAACACCCGUAGCGAAGGCGG
rnacentral:rRNA from 1 species